UCUCUAGUCAUCCAAGGCUUAUCCAUCCUUCCCUGAUCUGCUGGGAAACAUUUCUCCUGCAAGGCAUCCAUCCUAGACUCCAACCUGGGACCAGGCAACCAGGACCCAAGGGAGAGAAGGGAGAAAGAGAAAGAGAAGCCCACGGCUGCAACCUUGAUUGAACGUUUGAAGGAUCUACCAAGGACUACCCAGGAAAGUGUUCUAUGUGGCUCCGAUGCCACAAUCCUACUGCCAGACCCACGAUAUUACUGCCAGGGAAGGUGCCUGCAGGGAGCUUGCCACAAAUGCUUGGCCAUCCACAGGCCCCUGUUCAGCACUGACCUACCUUCUUUACUACCCUAGCAAACACCUUGUUCCAGCUCCCAAUCCUUAGACUGUCUGUUCUCCCUGGUGUGUCUGUAUAUCCCUGAAAGCCUCCCUUGUAAAUCAUUGGCCUUUUGGUCCUCCAGUGAUUCCUCUAGGACUCCCUCUUGCCUGGAGCCAAAGGUUACCCAGGCUCUGCUAUAGAUAUGCAAUGAACACAGUGAAAAUACAUAAUGCCCACCAGGGACAGAAAGAGAUAUGCUCUAUGCAUCCACACACAGGCCCAGCCUCCAACAUGCCUCAAAUCCACAGAAAACACUAUAAAAAUGGGUGUACCCAGCCAUGAACACAGUCUAUCCAUGCACAGACUACAAACCCUGCUCCAAGGCAGGCCCAUUCACCCUGCUGACCCCACCACAGGCUUGAGAGCUGAUCCUCCCUCCUCUGGCCUCCCUAGCCUGCUCCUAGCAACAGCCAACAGCUCUCUCAGUUGCCAGGCAACAGGGAGAACCUGUCAACCCUUUUGAGGCCAGGCUCUCAGGAGGUGGGUGCAACACAGACCCCAACAUAUAGAGGCGGGGCAGGACGGGGGCCACUGGAAGGACUGGCCUUCCCCAGCCCUAGUCCAGUUCCUGGGUUCUUGCACCCUUACCACUAUUCAGCCACUCAUUUCCAGCCAUGUGCUCCUCUAAGGAAGCCUAGCAAACCCUGCUUCCACCCUACUGGCUACUCCUGCUCUUUUUCCAGCGAGGUCCCUAGGGCUAUGGCCAGGCCUCUGCUUGCCACUUAACUUAUAUACCUCCAGUCCAGGAGCUCAGAACCCCACAUGGUCACCUCUAGCCUGACUUCUCCCCCUGAUUGUCAGCCCCAUAUCCACCACUGCUCUGAAGCAAUGCCCCCAGAGACCUCAGGCAUUUUUUUUUUUUUUUGAGAUGGAGUCUCCUUCUGUUGCCCUGGGUAGAGUGCUGUGGCAUCAUCAUAGCUCACAACAUCCUCAAACUCUUGGGUUCAAGUAAUCUUGUCUGAGCUUCCAGAGUAGCUGGGACUAUAAGCGACUACUACAGCACCAGGCUAGUUUUUUCUACUUUUAGUAAGAGACGAGAUCUCACUCUUGGUCAGGCUGGUCUCAAAUUCCUGAGCUCUGGCAAUCCACCCAACUUGGCCUCCCAGAGUGCUAGAAUUAUAGGUGUGAGCCACUGUGGCCAGCUACCUCAGGCAUCUUAAGCCCACAGUCUAGAAUUGGGUAGAUCCCUUCCGGCUGGCCCAUACUCCUAGGCUCUCCACCACUUCAUGGCCCCCUCUACCUACCCCCUACAUGCUAUCAGCCUCUGCCUCUCCUCAAUUAUGCCUCAAAUCUGUCCCUGUUCUCUUUCCCCUCUGUCUCUAGGCCUCCAGCCUGCUCUCUGGCUCUCCUGUUUCCCCUGCAAUCCAUCAUCCAUAUGGCAGCCAAAAGGCUCCUAUUGAAAGAAAUCACAGCGGCACCUGUGGCUCGAGGAGUAGGGCGCCAGUCCCAUAUGCCGGAGGUGGCGGGUUCAAACCUAGCCCCGGCCAAAAACCAAAAAAAAAAAAAAAGAAAUCACAUCACUCCCUUGUUCACAAACCUUUUGUGGCUCCCUAGUGCCCUGAAGACAAAGCCUACAUACACUAGUUUUACUGUGCUGGAGGCAGAGGUGGUAAAGUGGUAGUUAACAGCAAGAACCGUGGGGAAUGGUCUGCAAACUUUCCAGCUGCCUAUUACUUUAGACAAGUACCAGAAACUGCUUGUGCCUCAGUUUUCUUAUCAGUAAAAUGGGACUAACAGUUAUAUACACACAAUGCACAGGCUGAGGGAGAAAACAUGUUAAAUGUUCAGAAUGUGCAUGGUACACCAAAAACCCUUAAUAGGGGUAAGUUGUUAUAAUAGUGGUAUCUGUAAGGCCCUAUGGGGAUGUCCACACCCAAUAAUCCACCAUAUCUCCCUCCACUUGCAACACAAUGCACUCUGACCAUCUGGCUUGCCUUGUUCUCUCCAUCCCCUUGUUCUUCCCCUCUGAUUCCCCUACCCCAUUAAGCUAAUCCCCCUCAUCUUUCAUUCCUCGGCUGUGAGCUGGGCCUCUCUGACUCCUAUGGUUCUGGGGCUUCCCCUUCUCCAGCCAAAUCUCACUGUCCUGUUAGUGAGUCUCUCUCACACAAGGCCCUGAUUCCCGGAUCCUUGUAGGGUGGCAGGUAAAUAUUUGUCAAGUAAAAAGAAUGAAUUGUACACAAACUAUCCCACCCUAGCAGGGGUCUCCUUCCUGGAGCUGGAGUGGGAGUCUUGCUGCCACUCUAAAAAUAUUCACUAUAAUUGCAUGUGCAGAGAAGGAAGAAACCAGUGGUGCCCUGGAAGGUCAGGAUGCUUUCUUUGGGGGGAGGGUGCUAGAGGGAGAAGAACAGGGAAAAGGGAACAGCACAUGCAAAAACAGAGAUGUAGGACUGAGAGGUAGAUUUGGGGAAGGACCAGCAAGAAAAUCACGAGUGAGAGCUGGAGAAACCUCUUGCUUUGCUCUUGAAUCAACUGACUCAGACUGGGCCAGGACCCAUCCAGAGUUAUCCAAUGAGGUAUGUCAAGGGCAUCAUGGUUCCUUCACAUUCAGGAAUCCAGGGGUCCUUUCAGGAGAGGUCAUUUGGGGGGCAAAGGGUAGCUGCCUAGCGAGGGGCUCAUGAGCACCAGAAGCAUGACUUGUCCCUAUCCCCACCAUCCCAGUACUACCUGGACUAGACCAUAAAGGACAUUGAAGUGAUAUCAGCAGAGCUGAAGGUAGCACUCCAGCUAGAAUGAAGAAGUGGCAGCUACUGGCUCACCCUUACAGGCAGAACAGCCUCAGGGCUCACCACAGGCCACAAAACAGGUCCAACUUGUCCUGAGUUCCUACUGGACACCAUCCCUGAACAGGGUGAAGAGACCCCCCUUAGUAGGCUGUGACACCCUAGCCUGCAGGCUCCAGGAAGGGGAAGCUGCUGGCACUUCCCCAAAGACAGUUUCAGUGUAGGUAUGUAUGUCCCUGUCCAAAGUUCAAAACCUGAGGACCCUAGGGUUUCCCAAAGUCUAGGAUCCUGACCACCCCAUCUUCAUGGCUCCCAGGUGGCAGAGAGCCCCGGGGCAAGGAUCUGUGACUACCAAAUCGUAGCCUUGCAGACAGAGCCUUGACAGCUUCUGCUUGCAGACCUCUUGCGGUCCUGGGAGAGGCUCCACCUCCCGGUCCAUUUCCCAUACUUUCUCCUUCCUGCUUCUUAGCCUAGCAGAAAUUCUGAGAUUUGGAGUCAACUAUCCUACCCCUACUGCCACCACCAGACCUCUCUCCCAAGGCCUCUCUUCCCCCCAGAGAAACAGCCCUAAGUCUGGGGGCCCUGGACUCCAAGGUCCCCUUCCUGGUCAUCCAACCCUUUCACAGAUCAUUGGCUUUGGCCUGGAGAAUUCAUGCCCCAGUACUCCUUGCCCAGAAGUUUCUGCCUUAGACCUGGAGGCCUAACAUGACACAGAGAUAUGGCUGUAUGUGUUGGGGAGAGGGGGAUGGACUAUAGGAAGAUCUGAGCAGGGGUGUCCAACUUUUUUUUCCUCCCACACAUUGGAAGAAUAAGAGGUACCUUGGGCCACACAGUAAAUACACAAACACUAACAAAAGCUGAUUAGAAAAAAAAAAGUUUGUCAUAUUUUUCCUGAUAUCUGACACCACAGAUAAGCAAAAAUCGUCCUCACAAAAUUAGCAUGUGGCCUGUGGGGGGUCACAGGUUGGACACCCCUGAGGGAGGGGUCAUCUAUUCAACCACUAUUUACUGUAAACAUAUUGUGUGCCAAUGUUCUGAGAACUUGAGGGUAAGGGAGAUCACUGGGACCCUGCCCUUGAGGAGCAUACACUGAACAAGUAAACAGGGAAAUGGAAUUUUACAGUUUCAGAGGAAACAAGAGGGUGACACUUAGAGCCACUGGGAGAUGAAGGCAGGAGAAAACAGUCUGAGGAGGGGAACUUUGAAUCAUAGGGAGGGACCUGUCAUGUGAUAAGCCAGAAGAGAGUGACAGGCAAGUGCAAACAGCAAGUGCAAAGGCCCUGGGGUGGGAAAUAAGUGAAUGUUUCUGAACUAGGAAGGAAGCCAGCCUGGCCAGAAUAUGGAAAGCAAGAAGACAGUGGUGUGAGAGGGGACUGCCUGAAGCAUCCCUGAGGAGUAAGACAUACAGGCAGUUCCCAAGUCCCCAGGAAGGCCAAGGCAGUAGCACCAGCAUGUCCAAGCCAGUGAUCAUGUCUAUCCCUACGAAUCCAACUGGUCCUGGCAUUCAGAGUACUUCUGAUAUAACUGGAGGGGAGACACUCAGGUCCUAACAGAGAACCCAGGGUGCUCUUAGGACCAAGGUCUGAAUUAAGCUUCUCUCUUUUUCUUGUCCUUGAAGAGCUCAUGGUCCAAUCUGCUACUCUACCUAUUGCAUACAGAGCCUCCAAAGACCACCUCCCUGGGAAGCCUAGGGUCCUUAGAGGGCUUAGGAAAUGAUAAUCAGCUCUAUCCCCCCCCCCCCCCCAGCCAGUGCUUUGUUGCUUUGUUUACAUUAUUGUUUAGUCCUCCCUACCAAGCUGUCCAAAGGCUGGGGCUCCCAUGACUCGUUAGGGUUGUCAUUAGCACUGCUUCCUGGAAUUUAAUUUAAUUUUUUUUUUUUGUAGAGACAGAGUCUCACUUUAUCACCCUCGGUAGAGUGCCGUGGCAUCACACAGCUCACAGCAACCUCUAACUCUUGGGCUUAGG